CUGCACUCUCUCCUAAAUCCCUAUGUAUAUUUAAACAAGUGGGGUAAUUUAAAUAUACAUAGGGAUUUAGGAGAGAGCACAGGU